CACGUAGGGGGCGAGCGUUGUCCGGAUUUAUUGGGCGUAAAGAGCUCGUAGGCGGCUCAGUAAGUCGGGUGUGAAAACUCCAGGCUCAACCUGGAGACGCCACCCGAUACUGCUGUGGCUAGAGUCCGGUAGGGGAGCAUGGAAUUCCUGGUGUAGCGGUGAAAUGCGCAGAUAUCAGGAGGAACACCAGCGGCGAAGGCGGCGCUCUGGGCUGGCACUGACGCUGAGGAGCGAAAGCGUGGGGAGCGAACAGG
rnacentral:rRNA from 1 species